AUUGUUUUCGAUCUACGUUCGGAGUAGCGGUUGCGAGAAUUCGUAAAUUAGAGAGAGAUGGAGAUGGAAGGAAGGGAGGAAAGAAAAUUGGUGUCAAAAACAAAGAGUAUUGCACCGACGUGAGAAUGACCUUUUUAAAAUAAGUAGAGUUAUUUAAAAAUAUUUAAGAUUAUAUUUAAUUAAUUUUUACGAAUAAAAUCGUGUGGGAUAUAAGCACGUAAGAAAAUGUGCUUUAGACAUGGCCGAAAUGUUCAUGUUUGAUUAUUGGCCCUUUGUGAAUCUAAUUGCAAGGCAUUGCCUUGUCGGCUAUACCCUGACACGCGCGAGAAUUUUCGGUGUUCGGUUUUGUCUUCUAAUUCUCUUUGCAUUUUGAGUUGACUGCUGUUGCAUUCAGAAGUGUUUUGCGUAUUAGUUGCGUAAAAAUGAAAUAUUAUAAGACGGUGUGAAUGGGAUUCAGUACGGAAUUACAAAGUUUUUUUUAUCCAGUUUAAGUUGAUAAAACAAGUUUCUUAAAGGACACAGCAGCCGACAAAGGAGGCCCGUGACACGCACAUAUGUAUAUAUAUGUACAUGUUUAAUUUUGCAGAAAAAUGUAAUGCUACCAAAAAAGUGAAGAUAAAUAAAAAUAUGCAAUCCAUAAAUAAAUAAGAAUUAAAUUACAUCGGAUUUUUAUAGGAAGGGGGGAUUUUUCAGGAAUUUUCUAUAGGUUUUCAUCUGGGAUUCCUCGACGAUUCCCCAAGCGAUUCCCGCAAGAUUCGUCGACGAUUCCCCCAGCGAUUCCUUGACGAAUCGUGCACGAUUAUCUUUCGAAAUUCCCGGUGACUUUCCCUGGCGAUUCGUGGCGGAUUCUUGGCGAAUUUCGAAUUCGUGGCUGGGAUCACCUUUUGUAUGGAAAUUCCUCGAAGUUUUGUAUGAACGUUCCCUGACGAUUCGUCAGGGAUCUAUUUCGGUUCCGUGAGGAAUCGUAGGGGAAUCGUUGAGGAAUGGAACUGAAGGGUCCCU